rnacentral:rRNA from 1 species
UAGGGAAUCUUCGGCAAUGGACGGAAGUCUGACCGAGCAACGCCGCGUGAGUGAAGAAGGUUUUCGGAUCGUAAAGCUCUGUUGUUAGAGAAGAACGUUGGUAGGAGUGGAAAAUCUACCAAGUGACGGUAACUAACCAGAAAGGGACGGCUAACUACGUGCCAGCAGCCGCGGUAAUACGUAGGUCCCGAGCGUUUUCCGGAUUUAUUGGGCGUAAAGCGAACGCAGGCGGUUCUUUAGGUCUGAAGUUAAAGGCAGUGGCUUAACCAGUGUACGCUUUGGAAACUGAAGCACUUGAGUGCAGAAGGGGAGAGUGGAAUUCCAUGUGUAGCGGUGAAAUGCGUAGAUAUAUGGAGGAACACCGGUGGCGAAUGCGGCUCUCUGGUCUGUAACUGACGAUGAGGCUCGAAAGCGUGGGGAGCAAACAGG